AAAUAACAAAUUAUCACAAUCUUUGGUUGUGGAAUUGGGCCCUUAUUUCGAAAGACUUAUGGCCUUAAAUUUACGCCAUGUGCUUAAUUCGAACCAAACGGAGCAAUUAAACAUUCUCUCGUUAGACGGAUUACUCACAAGCAUUACGAUUUUUUGGACGACGAAAAGCACUCUCACGAGCGCGAAGCCCAAGAUCGUAAAUUUAAUUGAC
rnacentral:misc_RNA from 1 species